rnacentral:rRNA from 1 species
CCUACGGGAGGCUGCAGUGAGGAAUAUUGGUCAAUGGGCGAGAGCCUGAACCAGCCAAGUCGCGUGAGGGAGUACUGCCCUAUGGGUUGUAAACCUCUUUUGUCGGGGAGCAAAAGCCGGACGUGUCCGGCUGUGAGAGUACCCGAAGAAAAAGCAUCGGCUAACUCCGUGCCAGCAGCCGCGGUAAUACGGAGGAUGCGAGCGUUAUCCGGAUUUAUUGGGGUUAAAGGGUGCGCAGGCGGAUUUUUAAGUCAGCGGUCAAAUCGUGGGGCUCAACCCCAUCCAGCCGUUGAAACUGGGGAUCUAGAGUGUGCGAGAGGUAUGCGGAAUGCGUGGUGUAGCGGUGAAAUGCAUAGAUAGCACGCAGAACCCCGAUUGCGAAGGCAGCAUACCGGUGCACAACUGACGCUCAGGCACGAAAGCGUGGGUAUCGAACAGGAUUAGAUACCCCAGUAGUC